rnacentral:tRNA from 1 species
UAGCUUAGUUGGUAGAGCGCUUCACUAGAAAUGGAGAGGUCUUGGUUCGACACCAGG